rnacentral:rRNA from 1 species
AUUGAACGCUGGCGGCAGGCCUAACACAUGCAAGUAGAACGAGUGGCGGACGGGUGAGGAAUACAUCGGAAUCUACUCUGUCGUGGGGGAUAACGUAGGGAAACUUACGCUAAUACCGCAUACGAUUGAAUGAGCCGCUGUCGGAUUGGCUAUGUGGCGGGGGAAAGGCCCACAAGGGCGACGAUCCGUAGCUGGUCUGAGAGGAUGAGCAGCCACACUGGAACUGUGACACGGUCCGGACUCCUACGGGAGGCAGCAGUGGGGAAUAUUGGACAAUGGGCGCAAGCCUGAUCCAGCCAUACCGCGUGGGUGAAGAAGGCCUUCGGGUUGUAAAGCCCUUUUUUUGGGAAAGCGGUACCCAAUGAAUAAGCACCGGCUAACUUCGUGCCAGCAGCCGCGGUAAUAC